GCAGGCUGCAACUCGCCUGCAUGAAGUCGGAAUUGCUAGUAAUCGCAGAUCAGCAUGCUGCGGUGAAUACGUUCCCGGGCCUUGUACACACCGCCCGUCACACCAUGGGAGUCGGUAACACCCGAAGUCGGUAGCCUAACCGUAAGGAGGGCGCCGCCGAAGGUGGGAUUGAUGACUGGGGUGAAGUCGUAACAAGGUAGC
rnacentral:rRNA from 1 species